AAACUAACCAAGGAUUUCCCCUAGUAACGGCGAGUGAAGCGGGGAAGAGCUCAAAUUUGAAAUCUGGCAGUCUUCGAUUGUCCGAGUUGUAAUCUAUAGAGGCGUUUUCCGUGCCGGACCGUGUCCAAGUCUCCUGGAAAGGAGUAUCAAAGAGGGUGAUAAUCCCGUACUUAACACGACCACCGGUGCUCUGUGAUACGUCUUCUACGAGUCGAGUUGUUUGGGAAUGCAGCUCAAAAUGGGUGGUGAAUUCCAUCUAAAGCUAAAUAUUGGCGAGAGACCGAUAGCGAACAAGUACCGUGAGGGAAAGAUGAAAAGCACUUUGGAAAGAGAGUUAAACAGUACGUGAAAUUGUUGAAAGGGAAACGAUUGAAGUCAGUCGUGUUCUUUGGAUUCAGCCAGUUCUGCUGGUCUACUUCCUUUGAACGGGUCAACAUCAGUUUUGUCCGGUGGAUAAAGGUAGUAGGAAUGUGACUUCUCCGGAAGUGUUAUAGCCUAUUAUCACAUACACUGGGUGAGACUGAGGACUGCAGCUCGCCUUUAUGGCCGACCUUCGGGUACGUUCGAGCUUAGGAUGUGACAUAAUGGCUUAAC
rnacentral:rRNA from 1 species